rnacentral:rRNA from 1 species
CGGACGGGUGAGUAAUGCCUAGGAAUCUGCCUGGUAGUGGGGGACAACGUUUCGAAAGGAACGCUAAUACCGCAUACGUCCUACGGGAGAAAGCAGGGGACCUUCGGGCCUUGCGCUAUCAGAUGAGCCUAGGUCGGAUUAGCUAGUUGGUGAGGUGAUGGCUCACCAAGGCGACGAUCCGUAACUGGUCUGAGAGGAUGAUCAGUCACACUGGAACUGAGACACGGUCCAGACUCCUACGGGAGGCAGCAGGC